GGGGCCGACUGGUUUUGACAGCAUAGGGCGGGGUAAGUAAGCAUGUCGUGCGUUGUGUGGUCAGCACGUAAAUCUGAAUGCUCAAAACUUCAAAUGGCAAUACACAGUAUGCCAUGGCUGCCUAAUUAGAUUAGCGCACCCAUUUUGGCCGCAGAGCGCCGCUGCCUGUAGCAGCACUGCCGCCUAACUCGAAAAAAAACAGGAUAGCAAUGCAGUAGCCAUGCCUGCAGCGCGAAACUAAAAUGGCGUAGGUAAGCAGUAGGUUCGCCCGGAUCCGGCUGAUUACCGAAAUACAAUUCCGGAAUAAGCAUGUAGAAAGCUUAUCGAGCAUAUGUUUGGACGUGGGUUCGAAUCCCACCGGUUCCACAA
rnacentral:tmRNA from 1 species